AUACGUAGGUGGCGAGCGUUGUCCGGAAUUACUGGGUGUAAAGGGCGCGUAGGCGGGGAUGCAAGUCAGAUGUGAAAUUCCGGGGCUUAACCCCGGCGCUGCAUCUGAAACUGUAUCUCUUGAGUGCUGGAGAGGAAAGCGGAAUUCCUAGUGUAGCGGUGAAAUGCGUAGAUAUUAGGAGGAACACCAGUGGCGAAGGCGGCUUUCUGGACAGUAACUGACGCUGAGGCGCGAAAGCGUGGGGAGCAAACAGGAUUAGAUACCCUGGUAGUCCACGCCGUAAACGAUGGAUACUAGGUGUAGGAGGUAUCGACCCCUUCUGUGCCGGAGUUAACACAAUAAGUAUCCCACCUGGGGAGUACGGCCGCAAGGUUGAA
rnacentral:rRNA from 1 species